rnacentral:rRNA from 1 species
GCUGGAGGGAGUUGAGCAGGAGAGGACAGCGGGAGGCCUAAUACAUGCAAGUCGAGCGAGAAUUCCGAUUUCGGUUGGAAGGAAAGCGGCGAACGGGUGAGUAACGCGUACGCAACUUACCCUUGAGUGUGGAAUAGCCCUGGGAAACUGGGAUUAAUACCGCAUAUACUAUUGAAUUGGCAUCAAUUUACUAGUAAAGCUUCGGCGCUCAAGGAUAGGCGUGCGUUCCAUUAGCUAGUUGGUGAGGUAACGGCUCACCAAGGCGACGACGGUAGGGGACCUGAGAGGGUGGCCCCCCACAAUGGAACUGAAACACGGUCCAUACACCUACGGGUGGCAGCAGUAGGGAAUAUUGCUCAAUGGGCGAAAGCCUGAAGCAGCAACGCCGCGUGCGCGAUGAAGGCCUUCGGGUCGUAAAGCGCUUUUCUGAGAGAUGAGAAAGGACAGUAUCUCCGGGUCGCUGCUCCAGGUCAGCGGCAUGCGCCGCUCGGUUGGCUUGAAGUCUUCGACCCAGGUUUGCAGGGCACUGACCGGCAACACAUGGGGCUGGGUGGACGGCGCCUGGUUGCCGCUCACCAGCUCGGCCAUGUCCAGCUGGCGCAUGUGCCGUUUGCGCAGGGCUGCCGAACCGGUGAUACGGGCGGUGAUGGCGUUGGUCCACAGGUGCGGGCUGUAGCCGAUCCACACUUCCUUGGCCGUGUCCUGGCAGGUGUCGGCCCAUACCCAGCCCAUGCUCUGGCCAGACAGGUAGCGCUCACGGCGGUGGUAGUCCUCCAGCCCUUGGUAGCGCAGCUCCUUGUAGAGGCCCGCGCCGACGUGCUCGUGAAUGACCAGCUUUUCGCCCAGAGGGCCUUUCAUGAACACGUAGACAUAGCCCGGGCGCAAAGCGCGGAGGGUGUAGGCCGAGUGCUGCAGCGUGGGGAAGCCUUGUUCCAGGUUGAAGCCUGCAUCGGCAUAGCGGCAGGCGGGGGCGUCGCCGGUGCGGGGCACGAUGGCGUAGCGCACCGGCAGGAUGGGCACGCGUGCGCUGCAGGCAGGGCCAGAGGUGGCGCUACUGACGGAGGCGUCGCUCAUGUACGCUUCCUUUUUUGGGUUGAAUGCGCUGGUGCCUCCUCAAAUGCUUCGGGAGGCGGUGGCGCUGCUCGGACGUUGAACAGGCGGCAGAUGCCAUACCAGCAGAGGGCGACGGAGAGGUUGUAGGGGAACAGCACGGCCCAGAACGGCAAUUGCCAGUUCUUUUUACCCUGCAUUUCACCGGGCUCGCCGGUUCGCCAGGGGGCAUAGUGGCGCCAGGCUUCUGCCGGGGUCAGGCAGAUGGCGUGCAAUGGCUUGUGCCACCAGUUGGGCUCACCGGGCGGGGGGAGUUUGUUCGGGCCGUGAUCCAUGAAGUGGCGGAGGUAUUCCCAUACCUCGGCGACAUGCUUGACGCCGGGUUCGGUGGGUUCGUUGCUGUCGACCCAGAGGCAGUCUUUUUGGUGCAGGCUGCCGUCUUCCCGGCGGGGGGCGAAGGCGAGGGCAUAGCUGGUGCUGAAC